AUGGCUGUCGUCAGCUCGUGUCGUGAGAUGUUGGGUUAAGUCCCGCAACGAGCGCAACCCUUAUUCUAUGUUGCCAGCGGAUUAUGCCGGGGACUCGUAGAAGACUGCCGGGGUCAACUCGGAGGAAGGUGGGGACGACGUCAAGUCAUCAUGCCCCUUAUGUCCAGGGCUGCAAACACGCUACAAUGGCCGGUACAAAGGGCUGCAAACUCGUGAGGGUAAGCGAAUCCCGUAAAGCCGGUCUCAGUUCGGAUUGGAGGCUGCAACUCGCCUCCAUGAAGCUGGAGUUGCUAGUAAUCCCGGAUCAGCACGCCGGGGUGAAUACGUUCCCGGGCCUUGUACACACCGCCCGUCACACCACGAAAGUCGGCAAUACCCGAAGCCGGUGGCCUAACCCGUAAGGGAGGGAGCCGUCGAAGGUAGGGUCGAUGAUUGGGGUGAAGUCGUAACAAGGUAGCCGUAGCGGAAGCUGCGGCUGGAUCACCUCCUUUCUAGGGAUACCGGAGCUUUAAAGCGUCCGGUAGGCGCUCGGCCAGUCCUGAUGGCACUUUUGCCUCAACUCCAUUGGUGUUGCGGUCACUGGGCCGUCCUGCACCCGAGUUCGCCUAGAAAUAACGUCGACCUCGACGAACGGUUCGCUGUUGAGUUUUGAGAGACCGGCCGCAAACCGGGCUUCUCUCGUUGGGCGGAUAAUCCGCGCGCACCUUGAAAACUCCAUAGCAGCAAUAUUGAGUUCUUCACGAUCAAGAGAAUAAGAGCACACGGUGGAUGCCUUGGCGCCAAGAGCCGAAGAAGGACGUGGGCGGCUGCGAUAAGCUCGGGUGAGGUGCUGACCAACCAUUGACCCCGAGAUCUCCGAAUGGGGAAACCCGG
rnacentral:sRNA from 1 species